GACCGCUUUGGUGACAUGGUGGUUAGAGCGUCCGCCUCGCAUGCGGUAGGUCGUGGGUUCGAUCCCCGGUCGAGUCA